rnacentral:rRNA from 1 species
UGGAAUUAAGCAUAUAAUUAAGCGGAGGAAAAGAAACUAACUAGGAUUCCCUCAGUAACGGCGAGUGAAGCGGGACUAGCUCAGGAUGUGAAUCUGCGCUUUUUGGCGCCGAAUUGUGGUCUAUAGACUUUGACGUUAUCUGCCGGGCCAAGUUCCUUGGAAAAGGACAGCUGAGAGGGUGAGACUCCCGUCCGCCUGGUAGAAUGAGUCUUUGUCAACGAGUCGAGUUGUUUGGGAUUGCAGCUCUAAUUUGGUGGUAAAUUCCAUCUAAAGCUAAAUAUUGGUGGGAGACCGAUAGCGUACAAGUACCGUGAGGGAAAGAUGCAAAGAACUUUGAAAAGAGAGUUAAAGAGUACCUGAAAUUGCUGAAACGGAAGCGAAGGAAACCAGUGUUUGUUGGUUCAUAUUUCCCUUGCCACUUGUGGUGUGGGCGCUGUGAGCUUGCGUGGGUUUGCUUUGGUUGAUCCCUUUGGAAGAGCGCAGUCAGAGUUGAUGUCUGUUGCUAGCACUGGUUUUGACUAAAGCAGACGAAAUGGUUUUCUUUACCCCGUCUUGAAACACGGACCAAGGAGUCUAACAUAUGUGCGAGUACAGGGGUGUCAAACCCCGGUGCGCAAUGAAAGUGACAGUGGUAGGAAUUUUGCACUAUCCGCCGGCCUCAAUCCUUCGGGAGAACGGUCUGAGUGUGAGCAUACAUGUUGGGACCCGAAAGAUGGUGAACUAUGCCUGAAUAGGGUGAAGCCAGGGGAAACUCUGGUGGAGGCUCGUAGCGAUUCUGACGUGAAA